UACGUAGGGUGCAAGCGUGUCCGGAAUUAUUGGGCGUAAAGAGCUCGUAGGCGGUUUGUCGCGUCUGCCGUGAAAAGUCCGGGGCUCAACUCCGGAUCUGCGGUGGGUACGGGCAGACUAGAGUGAUGUAGGGGAGACUGGAAUUCCUGGUGUAGCGGUGAAAUGCGCAGAUAUCAGGAGGAACACCGAUGGCGAAGCAGGUCUCUGGGCCACUACUGACGCUGAGAAGCGAAAGCAUGGGGAGCGAACAGG
rnacentral:rRNA from 1 species